AUGAAGGUGCGGUUCCAGGGCCACGUGGAUUCGACCCCGCCGGACCACCUCAGGUGCAUUCUCAGGGUAGUCGUCCAGGAGGCGUGCGCGGGCUGCGACCUGGCGGCCCC
rnacentral:sRNA from 11 species